rnacentral:rRNA from 1 species
AAAUUGAAGGGUUUGAUCCUGGCUCAGAACGAACGCUGGCGGCGUGGCUAAGACAUGCAAGUCGAACGGACCAUUAAUU